rnacentral:rRNA from 1 species
UGAUGCCGCGUGAGUGAAGAAGGCCUUUGGGUUGUAAGCUCUUUUGUAGGGGAAGAUAAUGACUGUACCCUAAGAAUAAGGUCCGGCUAACUUCGUGCCAGCAGCCGCGGUAAUACGAAGGGACCUAGCGUAGUUCGGAAUUACUGGGCGUAAAGCGCGCGUAGGCCGUUGAGUUAGUUAAUUGUGAAAUCCCAAAGCUUAACUUUGGAACUGCGAUUAAAACUGCUCGACUAGAGUUUGAUAGAGGAAAGCGGAAUACAUAGUGUAGAGGUGAAAUUCGUAGAUAUUAUGUAGAACACCAGUUGCGAAAGCGGCUUUCUGGGUCAACACUGACGCUGAGGCGCGAAAGUAUGGGUAGCAAAGAGGAUUAGAUACCCUCGUAGUCCAUACCAUAAACGAUGAUUGCUAGAUGUUGGAAAUAUAUUUUCAGUAUCGCAGCUAACGCAUUAAGCAAUCCGCCUGGGGAGUACGACCGCAAGGUUAAAACUCCAAUGAAUUGACGGGGACCCGGACAAGCGGUGGAGCAUGUGGGUAUA